rnacentral:misc_RNA from 1 species
ACAAACUUGGUCAUUUAGAGGAAGUAAAAGUCGUAACAAGGUUUCCGUAGGUGAACCUGCGGAAGGAUCAUUAUCGAGUUUUGAAGUGGGCUGCUUGAGCUGGCACGCAGGUGCUCGGCGGCUCCGCUCUCAUCCACUCAAACCCCCUGUGCACCUUGAACGAGUGUGGGUCGAGGCCGAAAGGCGGUAGGCCCGCCUCGUUUCUUACAAACUCUUGUAUUGUCUUGUAGAAUGCAUUGCCUCUCUGUGGGCGAAAUAGUUAAUACAACUUUCAACAACGGAUCUCUUGGCUCUCGCAUCGAUGAAGAACGCAGC